rnacentral:rRNA from 1 species
UACAGAGGUCCCAAGCGUUGUUCGGAUUCAUUGGGCGUAAAGGGUGCGUAGGCGGCGUCGUAAGUUGGAUGUGAAAUCUCGGGGCUCAACCCCGGAAACUGCAUUCAAUACUGCGAUGCUCGAGUACUGGAGAGGAGACUGGAAUUCCUGGUGUAGCGGUGAAAUGCGCAGAUAUCAGGAGGAACACCGGUGGCGAAGGCGGGUCUCUGGGCAACAACUGACGCUGAGGAGCGAAAGCGUGGGGAGCAAACAGGAUUAGAUACC